rnacentral:lncRNA from 1 species
UUAACCAAAUAACCAAACCCUAAAGACCUAACCUCUCUCUCUAACUACACCAGUCACCACACCUUACACCCCCUACUCUCAUCUUCCUCAUACCACACCACCCCCAAACAACCCCCUUGCCCAGUACCGCCAUCCCCAGCAGCCAUGGCUUCCCUCCAUCUUCAUCGUCUCAAAAACCCUCGCGCAAACCAGAUGUCCACUGCAACGUAGACCAGCAACCAUCCUUUCCAAACAACCCUCAACUUCAUCAUCUUCGUCGUUCACUUGUCCGUCCAACAGCAGCUGCUCUAAACGACCAGCCCAGCUCUGUCUUUCCCCAUGCCUGAACCAGUCUGUCGAACAGCUACCAAACGAACCAUCAUUCUCGACGAAACAACCCCUCCAGUUCGUCGACUUCAUUGUCCCAAACGCACCAACAAACGUCAAGUCACGUCGAACCAGCUACUAAACGUUCUCCUUUACCUCGUCGUCAAUCAGUUUUUUGAGUUCGCCGUCAGUCGUCAUCUUCCAUUGUUCGUUGUUCGUCGUUUGUUUAAAACCAUGGCUGGCUGGACAGAUUUUGGUUUAUGUCGAAGUUGAAGUCUUUGUCCGAAUAUUCUGGUUCGAUGUUGUUGAUUUCGUUUAAAGUCGUUUAAAUUUUUCUUCAUUUCGGUUUAAUUGGAAAGCAAUCGAGGUUUUACUUAUUUUUCCAUUUUAACUUGUUGCUUGAUUUUUGUGGUGAUAGGCAUGAUGUUCAUCCAUUUCUGUGUGUUUGAUAUUUGGAAAACUAGAUAAUUAGAGUUUUUAGAUUUUAUGAGUUCGUAUUAACUGGUGUUAGUGUAUUGGACUAGAUAAAUUCAGGUAUUCAUGUAAUGAUUUGGUGUUUUGGUUCAAAUGAUUUAAUUUUGUGUAUUGUUUGUUUUCUUUCUCUUUGUUGUUCUU